CUCCUCAGUUCAACAACAUACCUACUAAAAUCGGAACACUACAGAGAAGAUUAGCAUGGCCCUUACACAAGGAUAGCAUACAAAUUUGUGAAGUAUUCCAUAUUUUU
ensembl:snRNA U6 U6 spliceosomal RNA